rnacentral:rRNA from 1 species
UACGGAGGGGGCAAGCGUUAUCCAGAUUCACUGGGUUUAAAGGGUGCGUAGGUGGGCAGGUAAGUCCGUGGUGAAAUCCUAUAGCUUAACUAUAGAACUGCCAUGGAUACUAUUUGUCUUGAAUGUCGUAGAGGUAAGCGGAAUAUGUCAUGUAGCGGGGAAAUGCUUAGAUAUGACAUAGAACACCAAUUGCGAAGGCAGCUUACUAUGCGAUGAUUGACACUGAGGCACGAAAGCGUGGGUAGCAAACCGG